UACGUAGGGCGCAAGCGUUGUCCGGAAUUAUUGGGCGUAAAGAGCUCGUAGGCGGCCUGUUGCGUCCGCUGUGAAAGCCCGGGGCUUAACCCCGGGUCUGCAGUGGAUACGGGCAGGCUAGAGGUAGGUAGGGGAGAAUGGAAUUCCCGGUGUAGCGGUGAAAUGCGCAGAUAUCGGGAGGAACACCGGUGGCGAAGGCGGUUCUCUGGGCCUUACCUGACGCUGAGGAGCGAAAGCGUGGGGGAGCGAACAGG
rnacentral:rRNA from 1 species